rnacentral:lncRNA from 1 species
UUCUUUUUGUUAUGUUAUUCCUUCAAUUAACAUUUUGGUUUUCAACUUGUCUUUGCAUACCUCAUUCGGUGUCAACAGGAUGAGAGUGUAAUUUUGCUCAUUGAAGCUAAAGGCGUAGCGGUUCUUAAAACUGUCAUCAAUAACUCGCUGGUCAUAUUGCCAUGGUCGCCCUAAUAAGAUGUAACUAGCAUGCAUAGGUACGACAUCACAAAGAACUUGAUCAUGAUACCUUCCUAUGGUGAAAGUUAUCAUUACCUGCUUGUUUACU